UUCGUAAAUAAACAGCAAUCUGUGAGUUUAAUUUUUUUGCCCACUCGGUGGCGAAACCGCUGCAGGUUUUCCGCCCCGCUGGUGGUUUCACGGGGCAGGUGGAAUCGUCCCGAGUCCGAGGUACGAGGAGAUGUUUGAACCGACGGCAGGUCCGGAGAAUCCGGGUUCGACGGAGCAGAUGCGGGAGCCGAAGAAUAUUCUUCAGGGUUUGUGGAGGCGGAACAUAUUAGUGACUUUCAAUUUGAAAACCAGUGAAAGACGGUCCACAGUUACUAAGGGGCGCGUUUGAUCCGUUGGUGGAGGAAGGCCCUAGUGGAGGUGGUGGGGCACUUGCAGGCCGCGUACGACACGAACGGGAAGACGGUGUUUGAAUCUUCUAUAGUGAAUCGGGCGGGGGAUAAGAGAAAAAAGUUGAAAAUCGACAAUCCGGGAGAAGUUGGUGGAGUUUUUGGACUGUGAGGCGAGGACGAGGAACUUGUUUCGAGGCCGAGCCGGUUGUGAUCGAAGAGAUGAUGGCCGCGAAGCAGCACCGGAACCGCAUGACUGAGGAUAAGCCGAACGAGUACAUGCUGCACAACAAGGACUUGGAAGCUAUCUUGGGCGAUCGUUUCUGCAUCGCCGCAUGAUGUCGUAGUCAAUCUGGGCCGAUGUGGUGCCCCGAACAGUGCUUCCUGCUAGUGGCGGGAACGUCCGACGUCCGAUAAGAUUAUUUGGUGGGGCACCUGCAGUGGUGACUUCGUCCAGGAGUAUGAACGACAUCUGGGCGCGGUAAACUCGAUCACCUUCAACGACUAAAACCAGCUCUUGACGACCUCCGACGACGGCAUGGCUUGGCGUCGGCAAAGUCUACAUCUGUUUCACGACCUGUACGAGCAGCUGAGUGCCUAGACCAACAGCAUCGCCGUGCGCUGAUUCUUGAGUUUCUCCUGCUCCUCGCAGAUACGAUUAGUUUAGUGGAGGGAGGUCCACUGUUGAAUCUGGACCACCGCGAGGACAGCAACAAUAGUAAUGGUUUGCCGGCACCGGUGCCUAAGCUGGCGGAUUUCUUCAAGGACAGGCAACUCCAAGCUGAACAUUCCCGAGCCCGACCCCAUCUAAGGGACUCUUCCGCGCAGUGAAGUUACGAUUGGUUCAACAUGAUGCCCAAAAAGAUGAAUCACCGACACAAGUCCUAAGGUCUGAAAAGUGCUGCUGCUGUUCCGUCUGCGCCAGAUCAACAACCACCAUCCUCAAGCUGAACAUGGCCAUCAAGAAAAUGCUGCGCAUCGCCGAUCCGUACUUCACUUACGGCUACUUCUCACUCUAGUCGAUCCGCCACCUGGUCUAAAAGCGUGACUCCGUCAAGCACCGACAUUGCUGCAUCACAAUCACGGACAAGAUCGAGCGCUGAACGCAAUCAACCAGCUGGGCAGCAUUCAGAGAAAGAUCAACGGCUCAAACGGCAAGGGCGGCAACUCGAAGCUGGACGUUCCCAAGCACUGGUCUCGCGCACUGUUCCCACCCCGCGGCACAUUUGUCCCGCAGCCUCCUUAGUUCGAUAUGAUUUUGUACACUUAAUUGAAUAAAAUCCUGUUUUUCUGUUGACACUGUUUAUUUCAAUAUAGCAUAAGAUUUAUUUAUGCAUUUACACAAUAAUUAAGAGCGAUUCUACUAUCAGAAUCCACCUGAAAUUUUCAGGGGUUGUACGGACAUAUAUAACUAGCAUCUGGGGCUAAAUUUGAGCACCCACACGUCUUCAUCAGCAUUUCAGGUUGUACAGGUAAAUCUUCGUUUUACUCCUUGUCGGCCGCGUCCGGCAUGUGGCCGAGUUCUUUACCAAGAAGCUCAAGCAGGAUUCACCGCCGCUGUUGGACGCAACUGCGACGGUCUCCGGAACAACGGGAGCCUGUACCGGCUGCAGUUGAUGCUGUCCUCCGAGCUGGUAAACGCGCCCCUAUGCGUUGUAGUUGUUCACGGCCAUUCUCUCAAUCAUGCCGUCCUGUAGGGUGAAGAAAAAACAAUUAGAGCUAAAACUAAAGUAAGAAUAGUGUUUGACUAGCUCUGAGAGAUUCCGGCCGGUUCCGAUUAGCACAAAAACAGAUGUUCGAACGCUUCGCCCUGAUUUUCACCAGCCAGCUCAAGGAUCUGAUUGGCCCACGGGGUUGGGCACAUGCUUCAUCCGUAGCGCAUUUGGAGCAACUCCGGUAAAUUUACGUAAAUACCGUAAAUAUCGAGGUAAAUAUGGAUGCACGAAGAGUGACGAGAGAAUUUCAAAGGGAAUUUUGAUCAGUGUGGGUUUUGACGUUUCUAAACGUCAUUGGCAAAUGUCACUUUUAAGAAUGUUGUGUAAUGUAAAUUUUUUGAUCAAAAUUCGGAUGGGACCGCUCUGCAGACCGAUCAGUUACGGGUUUCACGACGCCCUCGCCAUCGGAGAGAGCAGAAACAGUUCUCCCUCAACCGGUUCUUUCACAGCAGGUUUCUUGUCCCGUGACAUCCGCCGAUCCCGGAGGAUAAACGUCUUCUAUUGAACGGUCAAAGUAAGCGGGACGGCGGGUAUCAAAUUCCGCGACAGAUGUGUGUGUUUUUUUGCAAGACCCGAAGCAAGCCGUUGUUUAUGACCGAGAAGCAACGGAGAGCAGAAGCGCUAAAGAAAGGGCAGGAGGAUGUGGCCGCCGCAAGCCCUGCUACGCGACAAUCAUCCUUCGUUUUGCCCAAUAACUAUGCUCCGACGAUCGCCGUGACCAAAAAACCUAGCCCAAAAGGUACCAAGAAGAUGCGGAAGCUUCCCCACCAGAUCGUAACGACGGAAGAUCUGGAGCAGACGCCGCUGCUGCUACCGACGCCGACGCAAACCAGCCCGGACUCGAAUUUUGUGGUCGCUGGUGAAGCGCAUGAUCGGUCAUCAACGUCGAAGUCAACGGGAACGGCCAGAAUAACAGUCAUAUCAAGGUAAGAAAAUCCAGUUUCACGUUGGAAAGAUCGUCAAACAUAAUUUCAUGGCAGGUGAUGGCAACGAACCACACGAUGGUGAACAGCUAGACGUCCCUGCAGGAUGAGAUGGGGACCAUUUCAAGAAAAACCAGCACGGACAAUGGUGAAGGGCAGGGAGUUUGCGUCACUCUGGAAGAUGGGAUGGUCAAAAUUUGCAUCAGGCACACGUUCCAACCACCAACCUGGGCAUCAACUCGUCAACCCCCUGAUACACCGUAGGCAGCCCGAGCCCUGUGCAAACGGACGAUUUUAACCAACAGUCCCCGGACGAACCAGCAGCUGCAUCGUUUUAAAAAUGUUAGGGGGAGAGGGGGUAAUAUGCACCCCCGGGGCAAAAUGCACCCCCUGAUUUUCUCAUAGAUGCAUCGUUUUUUU